UACGGAGGAUGCGAGCGUUAUCCGGAUUUAUUGGGUUUAAAGGGUGCGUAGGCGGGCUUUUAAGUCAGCGGUAAAAAUUCGGGGCUCAACCCCGUCCGGCCGUUGAAACUGGGGGUCUUGAGUGGGCGAGAAGAAGGCGGAAUGCGUGGUGUAGCGGUGAAGUGCAUAGAUAUCACGCAGAACCCCGAUUGCGAAGGCAGCCUUCCGGCGCCCUACUGACGCUGAGGCACGAAAGUGCGGGGAUCGAACAGG
rnacentral:rRNA from 1 species